GAGGAAUAUUGGUCAAUGGGCGCAAGCCUGAACCAGCCAUCCCGCGUGCAGGAUGACGGCCCUAUGGGUUGUAAACUGCUUUUAUACACCAAGAAAAAUCCGAACGUGUUCGGACCCGACGGUAGUGUAUGAAUAAGCAUCGGCUAACUCCGUGCCAGCAGCCGCGGUAAUACGGAGGAUGCAAGCGUUAUCCGGAUUCAUUGGGUUUAAAGGGUGCGUAGACGGCUUUUUAAGUCAGUGGUGAAAUCCUGUCGCUUAACGAUAGAAUUGCCAUUGAUACUGAAAAGCUUGAGUACAAUUGAGGUAAGCGGAAUGUGUAGUGUAGCGGUGAAAUGCUUAGAUAUUACACAGAACACCAAUUGCGAAGGCAGCUUACUAAACUGUCACUGACGCUGAUGCACGAAAGCGUGGGGAGCGAAC
rnacentral:rRNA from 1 species